rnacentral:rRNA from 1 species
UAGGGACCAGGAUUAGAUACCCUGUUACUUAUUUUAAUAGGCUUUGGAUUAGUAUUAUUAAUGAAAUUUAACGGAUUUGGCGGCAAGAUAGCUUUUUAGAGGAACCUGCCCUGUGAACGAUGAUCCACGAGAGCCUUACUUUAUUUUGAAAUCAGUUUGUAUACCGCUGUUGUCAGUUAGAUUUUUGAGAAUAUUUUCUUUUUGGUAAAGCCAAUGACUUCAAGUAAAGGUGCAGCUUAUAGUAAAGUUAGAGGUGGGUUACAUUUAUAAGAAUAAGACGGAUUAGGAUUUAAUUGACUUAUAGAGGUGGAUUUACCGUAAAAUGAUUAGAUUUGGUGAUAGCUCUAUCUUGUGUACACACCGCCCGUCGCUCUUCUUUUUUGA